UAUAAAGUCAGAAUUUAUUGAUAUAAAGUCGCAAUUGCGUGUUAUAAAGUCAGAAUUGCGAGAUAUAAAGUCAGAAUUGUGAGAUAUAAAUUAGUCUUUUUCCCCCUUAGAAUUGGCCUGAUAACUCGCAAUUGCGAGUUUAUAUCUCACAAUUCUGAGAAAAGAUGUCAGAAUUUCGAGAUAUAAACUCGCAAUUAUGUGUUAUAAAGUCAGAAUUGCGAGAUGUAAACUUGCAAUUGUGAGAAAAAAAGUCAGAAUUGUGA